rnacentral:tRNA from 1 species
GGGGACUCAGCGUAGCUCAGCGGGAGAGCGCUUGACUCACAUUCAAGAGGCCGCUGGUUCGAAACCAGCCGUCCCCACCA